CGCCUACGGGGGGCAGCAGUGGGGAAUUUUGCGCAAUGCUCGUAAGAGUGACGCAGCGACGCCGCGUGAAUGACGAAGGCCUUCGGGUCGUAAACCUCUGUCAGCAGGGAAGAACGGUCACUGUGCUAAUCAGCAGUGAAUUGACGGUACCUGCAAAGGAAGCACCGGCUAACUCCGUGCCAGCAGCCGCGGUAAUACGGAGGGUGCGAGCGUUAAUCGGAAUUACUGGGCGUAAAGCGCUCGUAGGCGGUAUGUCAAGUCAAGGGUGAAAUCCCCGCGCUCAACGUGGGAACUGCCUUUGAAAC
rnacentral:rRNA from 1 species